rnacentral:sRNA from 1 species
CUUUCGGCGUAGCAUCUCAUGCUAGAUUUUUAUCUGGGGGCCUUUGAAGAGCCAGCCGGCACAGAAGCAUGGUGGCAACGCUGUGCCUGGAAAACUCAUCAGUGUCACUCUGGUUUAUUUUCCUCUCCUCUUUGAGCUGUUUCCCAUGGUGUGGGGCUCUCAGUGACAACUGGCAAGCGGCGGGGCGGUUGCUCGUUGUCAUUCUGGUAGGCGCUGGUUUCCGGAGGGCUCUGAGUGCUUUAUGGCGGCAGCUAUGCCAUCCACGACUCCCAGGCCCCCAGUCUCAGCUCUGGGGGUGAGAGUUCCCCCUCCAGCCCCGUACACAACUGGGAGAUGAAUUACCAAGAGGCAGCAAUCUACCUCCAGGAAGGCGAGAACAACGACAAGUUCUUCACCCACCCCAAGGAUGCCAAGGCGCUGGCGGCCUACCUCUUUGCACACAAUCACCUCUUCUACCUGAUGGAGCUGGCCACGGCCCUGCUGCUGCUGCUGCUCUCCCUGUGCGAGGCCCCCGCCGUCCCCGCACUCCGGCUUGGCAUCUAUGUCCACGCCACCCUGGAGCUGUUCGCCCUGAUGGUGGUAGUGUUUGAACUCUGCAUGAAGUUACGCUGGCUGGGCCUCCACACCUUCAUCCGGCACAAGCGGACCAUGGUCAAGACCUCGGUGCUGGUGGUGCAGUUUGUCGAGGCCAUCGUGGUGUUGGUACGGCAGAUGUCCCAUGUGCGGGUGACCCGAGCACUGCGCUGCAUUUUCCUGGUGGACUGUCGGUAUUGCGGUGGCGUCCGGCGCAACCUGCGGCAGAUCUUCCAGUCCCUGCCCCCCUUCAUGGACAUCCUCCUGCUGCUGCUGUUCUUCAUGAUCAUCUUUGCCAUCCUCGGUUUCUACUUGUUCUCCCCUAACCCUUCAGACCCCUACUUCAGCACCCUGGAGAACAGCAUCGUUAGUCUGUUUGUCCUUCUGACCACAGCCAAUUUCCCAGAUGUGAUGAUGCCCUCCUACUCCCGGAACCCCUGGUCCUGCGUCUUCUUUAUCGUGUACCUCUCCAUCGAGCUGUAUUUCAUCAUGAACCUGCUUCUGGCUGUGGUGUUCGACACCUUCAACGACAUUGAGAAACGCAAGUUCAAGUCUUUGCUACUGCACAAGCGAACCGCUAUCCAGCAUGCCUACCGUCUGCUCAUCAGCCAGAGGAGGCCUGCCGGCAUCUCCUACAGGCAGUUUGAAGGCCUCAUGCGCUUCUACAAGCCCCGGAUGAGUGCCAGGGAGCGCUAUCUUACCUUCAAGGCCCUGAAUCAGAACAACACACCCCUGCUCAGCCUAAAGGACUUUUACGAUAUCUACGAAGUUGCUGCUUUGAAGUGGAAGGCCAAGAAAAACAGAGAGCACUGGUUUGAUGAGCUUCCCAGGACAGCGCUCCUCAUCUUCAAAGGUAUUAAUAUCCUUGUGAAGUCCAAGGCCUUCCAGUAUUUCAUGUACUUGGUGGUGGCAGUCAACGGGGUCUGGAUCCUCGUGGAGACAUUUAUGCUGAAAGGUGAGCCCCGCUCAGGGACUGGCCGUGUCCUGGCUGGCACACCUGGCUUGCCUGUGAGCUGCUACUUCUCUGUCUUACAGGUGGGAACUUCUUCUCCAAGCACGUGCCCUGGAGUUACCUCGUCUUUCUAACUAUCUAUGGGGUGGAGCUGUUCCUGAAGGUCGCCGGCCUGGGCCCUGUGGAGUACUUGUCUUCCGGAUGGAACUUGUUCGACUUCUCCGUGACAGUGUUCGCCUUCCUGGGACUGCUGGCGCUGGCCCUCAACAUGGAGCCCUUCUAUUUCAUCGUGGUCCUGCGCCCCCUCCAGCUGCUGAGGUUGUUUAAGUUGAAGGAGCGCUACCGCAACGUGCUGGACACCAUGUUCGAGCUGCUGCCCCGGAUGGCCAGGUACUGCCAGCCCCCACCCUGGCCUGCAGGUCCAGGUGCCGUGUGGCAGUGCCCCGUGGGGGCGGGAGCCGAGUGGCAGUCGGGGGAAAGGAGUUCCACAAAGGACUGCAAUCGAGGGCCUGACGGGGCUCCAAGGAGCCUGGAAUCUUGACCACCACAGGUCUCCUGGGCACCAUUUUUCUCCACUGACCUGUCUGACAUAUUUAGUAGGGAGGGCAGGGAGCUGUCAACUCGCUUACCACCUGUGUCUACAUUCACAGGUAAGGGGUCACCUGUGAGUCUACCUUCACAGGUAAGGGGUGAAUCUCUGGGAAAGGGGCAUUUGUUCAUAGUGUCCUGACUUGAGCUGUUUUUCACCCCAGAGCUGCCCCACGAGGCCCCUUCCCCGCAGGCACUUUCCAGUUGGUGAACCGACCAGGGGCAUGGCCCUGCAGUCAGCCCCACGGGUCCGAGGAGGCCAG